UUGGAUUUUGGUUGAUUUUUGGGUUGCGGGUGGGUUAUGAGUUUGAAUCACACCUGUCCAACCCGCUCGUAUUAACUUUUUUUUUUUCAAAUCUGAACCGUUCAUCUUCACUUCAUCUAUACCCAAACAAACAAAUAACCCAAACCCUAAUCUAAUCACUUAAACUACUGCGCAAUUCUUCUUUCUUUCCUCUCAUCUCAUUAGUCUCUCAUUCUCUCGUUUUUUAUCUGGACCGAUCAACCUCACAAGAUCGACUCUCUCUCAUCACAAGAUUGACCAAUCGACCUCACUCUCUCAUCGCAUCGAUCGACCUCGCAAGAUCAAAUCUCUCUCCAAUAACUCUCAGGUAUGUGUCUCUCUGUCUCUGUCUCCCUCUCUCAUCGAUCUCUGAUUUUUCUUAUGGGCAUUCAGUUCUGUGUCUCUCAUUCUUCCAUCUCUCUCUCUGUGUCAACCGGCGAAGAGACCGAUUGACCUUCGCAAGAUCAACUCUGCCCUAUAACUCAUAGGUUCAUCAACCAAAUGCAUGGAACUGAAAUUUUUGGAACUUAGAUGUGAUUCAUAAUGAUGGAGUUUGAGAUAUUGUGUUGCAAAUGUUUUUAUUUUUUAUGACAACAAUCUUAUUUUAUUUUUCUUAUUGCAUUUUCAUUUUGGAUGAAUGUAAUAGUUAAUGAAGUUUGUUUGACAAUAAUUUUAUUUUAUUUUAUGUCAUUUUAUUAUUGCAUUUUGGAUGAAUGUAAUAGUUAAUGAAGAAUUACUUUUAGGUAAACUUAGGAUUUUGAAUAUUUUA